rnacentral:rRNA from 1 species
GUCCACGCCCUAAACGAUGAAUACUAGAUGUCGGAGUUCCUAAUUGCUUCGGUGUCGCAGCUAACGCAUUAAGUAUUCCGCCUGGGAAUUACGGUCGCAAGAUUAAAACUCAAAGGAAUUGACGGGGGCCCGCACAAGCGGUGGAGCAUGUGGUUCAAUUCGAUGCUACGCGAAAAACCUUACCUAGGUUUGACAUCCCACGCUACUCGGUGAAAGCCGGGGUUCCCUUCGGGGGACGUGGAGACAGGUGCUGCAUGGCUGUCGU